GAGAAAUUGAAAUCGGAGAUGGCCGGUGAAGUGGGUAUGUUCAAGUUCCUGAAGCCCAAGAGUCGUCCUCACCCCGUGGAUAUCCAAGCCGCUGCCUUGUGGGGUGUCGCCGCCGGCACCACGGCUCUUUGGGUCGUCCAGGGCCUCUGUUGAGGGAUGAAUGGAACUGGAUAAUUGGAUUCUCUUCAUCCAUAUCCCACAUCGAUAGUCGGAUAGAGCAGGUUGCUGCAUUGGUUCACUGGCUGGCAAAGGAGCUCAUACUGUUUUUUUUUUAGUAAAUGAAUCUUCCUUUGUGGAUAGGAACAUAUGUAAGAGUUGAUUAGGGGCUGAUUUGUGAUCGCUAUAUGAAAUCUGAGUGCAGUUGUAGGUUGAAUGGUUCAAAUUGAGAACUAAAGAUGUUUUGGAUGUUAUGGAAUAAGAAAUUGUCAUUUUGGGGUG